UUUUUUAUAGUGUAAAUUCAACACAUUACAUUUUCAUUGUAAAACUGAAGAUUUCUUCUAGAAAUU
rnacentral:tRNA from 1 species